rnacentral:rRNA from 1 species
UACGGAGGAUCCGAGCGUUAUCCGGAUUUAUUGGGUUUAAAGGGUGCUCAGGCGGGCCAUUAAGUCGGCGGUGAAAUUUUGCGGCUCAACCGUAAAAGUGCCUUCGAUACUGGUGGUCUUGAGUGUGGAUGAGGUAGGCGGAAUUUGUGGUGUAGCGGUGAAAUGCAUAGAUAUCACGAGGAACUCCGAUUGCUAAGGCAGCUUACUAAGCCAUAACUGACGCUCAAGCACGAAGGCGUGGGGAUCAAACAGGAUUAGAUACCCCCGUAGUCCCU